UUAAGCGACUAAGCGUACACGGUGGAUGCCCUGGCAGUCAGAGGCGAUGAAGGACGUGCUAAUCUGCGAUAAGCGUCGGUAAGGUGAUAUGAACCGUUAUAACCGGCGAUUUCCGAAUGGGGAAACCCAGUGUGAUUCGUCACACUAUCAUUAACUGAAUCCAUAGGUUAAUGAGGCGAACCGGGGGAACUGAAACAUCUAAGUACCCCGAGGAAAAGAAAUCAACCGAGAUUCCCCCAGUAGCGGCGAGCGAACGGGGAGCAGCCCAGAGCCUGAAUCAGUGUGUGUGUUAGUGGAAGCGUCUGGAAAGGCGCGCGAUACAGGGUGACAGCCCCGUACACAAAAAUGCACAUGCUGUGAGCUCGAUGAGUAGGGCGGGACACGUGGUAUCCUGUCUGAAUAUGGGGGGACCAUCCUCCAAGGCUAAAUACUCCUGACUGACCGAUAGUGAACCAGUACCGUGAGGGAAAGGCGAAAAGAACCCCGGCGAGGGGAGUGAAAAAGAACCUGAAACCGUGUACGUACAAGCAGUGGGAGCACGCUUAGGCGUGUGACUGCGUACCUUUUGUAUAAUGGGUCAGCGACUUAUAUUCUGUAGCAAGGUUAACCGAAUAGGGGAGCCGAAGGGAAACCGAGUCUUAACUGGGCGUUAAGUUGCAGGGUAUAGACCCGAAACCCGGUGAUCUAGCCAUGGGCAGGUUGAAGGUUGGGUAACACUAACUGGAGGACCGAACCGACUAAUGUUGAAAAAUUAGCGGAUGACUUGUGGCUGGGGGUGAAAGGCCAAUCAAACCGGGAGAUAGCUGGUUCUCCCCGAAAGCUAUUUAGGUAGCGCCUCGUGAAUUCAUCUCCGGGGGUAGAGCACUGUUUCGGCAAGGGGGUCAUCCCGACUUACCAACCCGAUGCAAACUGCGAAUACCGGAGAAUGUUAUCACGGGAGACACACGGCGGGUGCUAACGUCCGUCGUGAAGAGGGAAACAACCCAGACCGCCAGCUAAGGUCCCAAAGUCAUGGUUAAGUGGGAAACGAUGUGGGAAGGCCCAGACAGCCAGGAUGUUGGCUUAGAAGCAGCCAUCAUUUAAAGAAAGCGUAAUAGCUCACUGGUCGAGUCGGCCUGCGCGGAAGAUGUAACGGGGCUAAACCAUGCACCGAAGCUGCGGCAGCGACACUAUGUGUUGUUGGGUAGGGGAGCGUUCUGUAAGCCUGCGAAGGUGUGCUGUGAGGCAUGCUGGAGGUAUCAGAAGUGCGAAUGCUGACAUAAGUAACGAUAAAGCGGGUGAAAAGCCCGCUCGCCGGAAGACCAAGGGUUCCUGUCCAACGUUAAUCGGGGCAGGGUGAGUCGACCCCUAAGGCGAGGCCGAAAGGCGUAGUCGAUGGGAAACAGGUUAAUAUUCCUGUACUUGGUGUUACUGCGAAGGGGGGACGGAGAAGGCUAUGUUGGCCGGGCGACGGUUGUCCCGGUUUAAGCGUGUAGGCUGGUUUUCCAGGCAAAUCCGGAAAAUCAAGGCUGAGGCGUGAUGACGAGGCACUACGGUGCUGAAGCAACAAAUGCCCUGCUUCCAGGAAAAGCCUCUAAGCAUCAGGUAACAUCAAAUCGUACCCCAAACCGACACAGGUGGUCAGGUAGAGAAUACCAAGGCGCUUGAGAGAACUCGGGUGAAGGAACUAGGCAAAAUGGUGCCGUAACUUCGGGAGAAGGCACGCUGAUAUGUAGGUGAAGCGACUUGCUCGUGGAGCUGAAAUCAGUCGAAGAUACCAGCUGGCUGCAACUGUUUAUUAAAAACACAGCACUGUGCAAACACGAAAGUGGACGUAUACGGUGUGACGCCUGCCCGGUGCCGGAAGGUUAAUUGAUGGGGUUAGCGCAAGCGAAGCUCUUGAUCGAAGCCCCGGUAAACGGCGGCCGUAACUAUAACGGUCCUAAGGUAGCGAAAUUCCUUGUCGGGUAAGUUCCGACCUGCACGAAUGGCGUAAUGAUGGCCAGGCUGUCUCCACCCGAGACUCAGUGAAAUUGAACUCGCUGUGAAGAUGCAGUGUACCCGCGGCAAGACGGAAAGACCCCGUGAACCUUUACUAUAGCUUGACACUGAACAUUGAGCCUUGAUGUGUAGGAUAGGUGGGAGGCUUUGAAGUGUGGACGCCAGUCUGCAUGGAGCCGACCUUGAAAUACCACCCUUUAAUGUUUGAUGUUCUAACGUGGACCCGUAAUCCGGGUUGCGGACAGUGUCUGGUGGGUAGUUUGACUGGGGCGGUCUCCUCCUAAAGAGUAACGGAGGAGCACGAAGGUUGGCUAAUCCUGGUCGGACAUCAGGAGGUUAGUGCAAUGGCAUAAGCCAGCUUGACUGCGAGCGUGACGGCGCGAGCAGGUGCGAAAGCAGGUCAUAGUGAUCCGGUGGUUCUGAAUGGAAGGGCCAUCGCUCAACGGAUAAAAGGUACUCCGGGGAUAACAGGCUGAUACCGCCCAAGAGUUCAUAUCGACGGCGGUGUUUGGCACCUCGAUGUCGGCUCAUCACAUCCUGGGGCUGAAGUAGGUCCCAAGGGUAUGGCUGUUCGCCAUUUAAAGUGGUACGCGAGCUGGGUUUAGAACGUCGUGAGACAGUUCGGUCCCUAUCUGCCGUGGGCGCUGGAGAACUGAGGGGGGCUGCUCCUAGUACGAGAGGACCGGAGUGGACGCAUCACUGGUGUUCGGGUUGUCAUGCCAAUGGCACUGCCCGGUAGCUAAAUGCGGAAGAGAUAAGUGCUGAAAGCAUCUAAGCACGAAACUUGCCCCGAGAUGAGUUCUCCCUGACUCCUUGAGAGUCCUGAAGGAACGUUGAAGACGACGACGUUGAUAGGCCGGGUGUGUAAGCGCAGCGAUGCGUUGAGCUAACCGGUACUAAUGAACCGUGAGGCUUAACCUU
rnacentral:rRNA from 1 species